AAUGAACGUUGGCGGCGUGGAUUAGGCAUGCAAGUCGCGCGAUUUCCUUCGGGGAAGAGCGGCGGAAGGGAGAGUAACGCAUAGAUACCUACCCUCGGGACUGGAAUAGCGACGGGAAACUGUCGGUAAUGCCAGAUAACGUCCCUGGACCAAAGGUGUGAAUCCGCCGGAGGAGGGGUCUGCGUCCUAUUAGCGAGUUGGCGGGGUAACGGCCCACCAAGGCGAAGAUGGGUACCGGGCGUGAGAGCGUGACCCGGCUCACUGGGACUGAGACACUGCCCAGACACCUACGGGUGGCUGCAGUCGAGAAUCUUCGGCAAUGAGCGCAAGCUUGACCGAGCGACGCCGCGUGCGGGAUGAAGGCUUUCGGGUUGUAAACCGCUGUCAGUGGGGAGGAAAUUCUUGGGGGUACUCCCCCUUGAUUGACCGAUCCGCAGAGGAAGGACGGGCUAAGUUCGUGCCAGCCGCCGCGGUAAAAC
rnacentral:rRNA from 1 species